ensembl:lncRNA
GGAAACCAGAAAAGACUGCUCCCUGCACACACAUCUCGGGCGCCAGAGGAAAAAGCCAAAGACCAUCUGGAACCCUGGUGCACUGAAGCUCCCGGAAGGGGCGGCACAGGUCUUCCUGGUUGCUGCCGCUGCAGAGAGCCCCUGGGCAGCACCCCACGAGCGAACCUGAGCCUCGGGACCACAGGUCUCUGAUGGACUAGAGGCGCCAGAGUUCUGCUCCCCUCCCCGGAGAGCGCUGGGUCUCAGGAGUGCUGGAGGUGUGCGAGAAUACCGAAGAUAAAGUCCAUAGAACUCAAAAAGGUCAACAAGCUGAGGGACGCAAGGGCCCUCAGUGGCACUUGGGAGGGAGAAGAAAGCAACCAUAAGGGGGCUGGAGAGAUGGCUCAGCGGUUAAGAGCACCCGACUACUCUUCCAGUGGUCCUGAGUUCAAUUCCCAGCAACCACAUGGUGGCUCACAACCAUCUGUAAGGAGAUCUGAUGCCCUCUUCUGGUCCAACUGUGCAAGGGUAGCACAUCCCACAGUGAUCUGGGACUUCCAACAUCAAUCAUCAGUCAAGAAAAUUCCCUACAGACCAAGCUGAAAGGAAGUGUUUUUUCUUAUUAUUGCUUUCAAACAUAUGAUUAAGUGAAAUAAAAUUAAAAAGAUAUUUUCCCUGUUUUCCCUCUUUCUUUCCGGAACUCCGAAUAAGUGCCGCCUCCCUUUAGCCCUCAAAUAUCAUUCUUCCUGAUAAUUGAGAGACUUUAUUCUUUUGGUUUAAUUAUUAUUCGUGUGUGUGUGUGUGUGUGUGUGUGUGUGUGUGUGUGUGUGUGUACACAUAUAUACUUACAACCUGCUUAGUUCAGUUAUGCUGUUUCUGUUUAUAUGAUUACAGGGCUGACCACUCUGCACUAGAUGACCAAUAAAGUUUCCUCUUUCCUGAGUCCCCCCACUAGACAAUGGAUCACAGGCCACUAAGGACUGCUGAGAAGGAAGCAUCCCUCAGAGACCUGUGUGCUGAUUGCCUGGUCGUCAACGUAGUAUUGAGGUCAAGUCUUGAUAGGAUUCAAAGGGCUGUACCUUCAUCAAAGGAUUAGUCCAUUGAGAAUUCAGUACCAGAUAGACUCUGCAGGGAUGGAAAUGGAGAAGAGCCUGAAGAAAAGGUCCAGUGACAGGACCAAAGUGGGAUCCACCUCAAGGGGAGGCCUCAAGACCUGACACCAUUACUGAGGCUAUGGGGCAUUCACAAAAAGGGACCUAUCAUGGCUGCCCUCUGAAAGACCCAACACGCAGUUGAAAGAGUCAGAUAGAGAUAUGUGCACUCAAUCAAUGAACAGAAGAUGCUGAUCCCUCUGGUUGAAUAAGGGAAAAGCUGGAGGAAGCCAAGGAGGAGGAGGGCAACCCUGUAUGAGGACCAGCAGUCUCAAUUAACCUGGACCCCCGAGAUCUCUCAGACACUGGAUCACCAACUGGGCAGCACACACCAGCUGAGAUGAGGCCUCCAACACACAUCCAGCAGAGGACUCUUGGGUCUGGGUACACUCAGAGAAGAUGCUCCUAAGCCCUAAGCGACUGGAGGUCCCAGGAAGUUUAGAGGUCUGGUGGGGUGGGUGGGGUGAGGACAGCCUUGUGGGGAGGGUGACAGGAGGAGGUGUGCGAUGGGGAACAGUUAGAGAGUGGACGAGGGGAGGAAUAAAAUCUGAAGUGUAAAAAUAAAUAAAUAAAUACAGUUUAAAAGAGAAAGAGGGUCUAACUGAUGGAAGUAGAUCAUUGCUAUAUGCUAAUAAAAGGCAUAAAUUUUGGGUGCUCUCUGUUCCUCAGCUUGUAACAGGUAGGAACCUUUGCUUCACUGAAUUCUCUCUGCCAUGGGAAUCAGCCACAGCACAAGCCCUCAACAGAGUCAACUAACAUUGGAGAGAAAACUCUGUAAUCAUAAGUUGAAAUGAAUCUCUCCUUUUUUGAGUUUCUCAGUCAUUUUGCCAUGAUAAUAUAAAACUAACACAACUUGACCUUAAACUUUAUGAUGUAACAGAAUAAAUAGUUCAGGCCCUGGAUCUCUCUAAUAAACUUAAUAACUACUAUCCAGUUUCUGUCACAGUGGGUCAAAUAUGGAAACACAUUAUAUAUCUGUACAGGUUUAUAGCCUUUAAUAUUAUAUUAGUCCUUCAUAUGUAUGUUUAUAGGUCUAAUAUACGAAAAAGCCUUAGAAAUAAGUUUUUAUGUAUAAAACAAAAACAAAACUCUAAUCUUUCUAAAAAAUGAGAAAAAUUAGACAUGUCUCCUACUAAAACAUGUCACUGAUAAAAUUAGUGUUUAUUUUCUGCACUUACUCAUGUAUAUUAUUUUAUCCUAAAAUAAGACUAUUUGCAUAUAAAGUCAUAUCACUGAAAAUAUUAUUUAGUGAAAUUAGCUAUAGUCAUGAUAAUAUAGUCUUUUAUCCUAAUUUAAGCAGGUAAAAACAAAUCUUGCAAAGUGCUUCGUGGGAUAGUUGAGAGCAAAGGCAUAUAAGCCAAUAUUUUAUGUAAACUUUAAGAAAUGUUUUGUAGUAAUAGCAAAUAAUUUCUUUACCUUGUACCAAGGCUGGGUGGGAGUGAGUGUUAUACUAGGACCAGUUUGAGAAUUGAUUCCUGGGGACUCGCUUGUAGGAUAUAAAAAUUGUAUAUUGUGUUAACUUUAUUUUGUCUCGAAAAUUGUAUAUUACUGAAGUAGAGAAAAAACUCAUCAAUAAUUACCAUCACCUAAAUAUGAA